UACGUAGGGUGCAAGCGUUAAUCGGAAUUACUGGGCGUAAAGCGUGUCGCAGGCGGUUUUGUAAGUCUGUCGUGAAAGCCCCGGGCUCAACCUGGGAAUUGCGAUGGAGACUGCAAGGCUUGAAUCUGGCAGAGGGGGUAGAAUUCCACGUGUAGCAGUGAAAUGCGUAGAGAUGUGGAGGAACACCGAUGGCGAAGGCAGCCCCUGGGUCAAGACUGACGCUCAUGCACGAAAGCGUGGGGAGCGAAACAGG
rnacentral:rRNA from 1 species